rnacentral:snRNA from 10 species
UGCCAUGUGGGCGAUCUGGCUGCGACAUCUGUCACCCCAUUGAUCGCCAGAGUUGAUUCGGCUGAUCUGGCUGGCUAGGUGGGUGUCCCCUUCCUCCCUCACCGCUCCAUGUAUGUCCCUCCUGAAGCUGCGCGCUCGCUCGAAGAGGACCACCAUCCCUGCUAGAGGAGGGUCGGUCUUCGGUCAAGGGUAUACGAGUAGCUGCGCUCCCCUGCUAGAACCUCCAAACAAGCUCUCAAGGAAGUCUUGUAUUCUAUAAUGAGGAAUGUAUAAGGAUAAUGGGAAGCCUUUGAAGAGUAGUGAGCAAAGGAAAACAUUAUCU